GAACGGUAAGCAUCCUUCGGGGUGCCUAGAGUGGCGAACGGGUGAGUAACACGUAGGUGAUCUGCCCUUGAGUUGGGGAUAGCCCAUGGAAACAUGGGGUAAUACCGAAUACGUUCGGGAGUCUGUGGAUUCCUGAGGAAAAGCGCUUCGGCGCUGCUCGAGGAUGAGCCUGCGGCUGAUUAGCUAGUUGGUAGGGUAAGAGCCUACCAAGGCGACGAUCAGUAGCCGGCCUGAGAGGGUGAGCGGCCACACUGGGACUGAGAUACGGCCCAGACUCCUACGGGAGGCAGCAGCUAAGAAUCUUCUGCAAUGGACGAAAGUCUGACAGAGCGACGCCGCGUGGGUGAAGAAGGCCGGAAGGUUGUAAAGCCCUUUUCUACUCGAGGAAUAACCAUUGGAGGCAAUGCCAGUGGGAUGACGGUAGGGUAGGAAUAAGCCCCGGCCAAUUACGUGCCAGCAGCCGCGGUAACACGUAUGGGGCGAGCGUUGUUCGGAAUUAUUGGGCGUAAAGGGCGCGUAGGCGGAUAUGCAAGCUUGGUGUGAAAGACCGCAGCUCAACUGCGGGAGCGCGCUGAGAACUGUGUAUCUAGAGUUCAAGAGGGGAAGCUGGAAUUCCUGGUGUAGGGGUGAAAUCUGUAGAUAUCAGGAAGAACAUCAGUGGCGAAGGCGAGCUUCUGGCUAUGAACUGACGCUGAGGCGCGAAAGCGUGGGGAGCGAACAGGAUUAGAUACCCUGGUAGUCCACGCUGUAAACGAUGUGCACUAGGUGUCGGACCGUUGAAGGUUCGGUGCCGUAGCUAACGCGUUAAGUGCACCGCCUGGGGAGUAUGCUCGCAGGGUGAAACUCAAAGGAUUGACGGGGCCCGCACAGCGGUGGAGCAUGUGUUUAUUCGAUGAUACGCGAGAACCUUACAGGCUUGACAUAUAGCGGACGGUUGUAGCGAUACAGCUCCCUCGGGCUGCUAUACAGG
rnacentral:rRNA from 1 species